GGGCCCGUGGCUCAACGGUAGAGCAGCAAGAUGGCAUCUUGAAGGUUCGGGGUUCGAAUCCCCGCGGGUCCA
rnacentral:tRNA from 1 species